CUUACAAAUUCAAAUCUGAAACACGUGAAUGCUCCAUUAAUAUAGAGAGAUAGAAAGAGUAAGAUUGUUAAGGAAUGCUCCAUUAAUGUAGAGAGAGAAAGAGAAAGAUUGUUAAGGAUAUUGGGGAGGUGUAGGGUUUUUUUGGAAUAAGGAAAAUAGUGGGGAGGUGUAAAAUAUUUUUAAAAUAAAUUAAAUUAAUGGGGAGGUAAAGGUUCCACUUGGGAAGGUGUAGGGAGUAACACAAAAGAAAAAAAUUGAAGUAAUUUGAAACUUAGUGAAUAUAAGUAGCCCAUCGUUAGCCAACGAAAGAGGUUGGGUCGACAUAAAUUUGGUCUGAGAAAAAAAAAAUCCACAUCGUGUUGAAUGAAGAGGUAAUGUUAAAUACAUAAAAUUAAUAAGUAUAGUUGAGUUUGUACAAUAGAUUAGAAUUUUGUGAAAAUAUGACCCAAUCUAAAAAUAAUGUUUUAAUAUUUAUAAAUUCUUAGAAAUAUAAAAAAAUUUAAAUU
rnacentral:lncRNA from 1 species